rnacentral:rRNA from 1 species
GUAACUGACGCUAAAGCUCGAAAGUGCGGGUAUCGAACAGGAUUAGAUACCCUGGUAGUCCGCACGGUAAACGAUGGAUGCCCGCUGUUGGCGAUACAAUGUCAGCGGCCAAGCGAAAGCGUUAAGCAUCCCACCUGGGGAGUACGCCGGCAACGGUGAAACUCAAAGGAAUUGACGGGGGCCCGCACAAGCGGAGGAACAUGUGGUUUAAUUCGAUGAUACGCGAGGAACCUUACCCGGGCUUGAACUGCCAGCGAACGAUUCAGAGAUGAUGAGGUCCUUCGGGACGCUGGUGGAGGUGCUGCAUGGUUGUCGUCAGCUCGUGCCGUGAGGUGUCGGCUUAAGUGCCAUAACGAGCGCAACCCUUUCUGGUAGUUGCCAUCAGGUUAAGCUGGGCACUCUGCCAGUACUGCCACCGUAAGGUGUGAGGAAGGUGGGGAUGACGUCAAAUCAGCACGGCCCUUACGUCCGGGGCUACACACGUGUUACAAUGGGUGGUACAGAGAGUCGGUCGCAGGCAAUUACGAUCUAAUCCUUAAAGCCAUCCUCAGUUCGGAUUGGGGUCUGCAACCCGACCCCAUGAAGCUGGAUUCGCUAGUA